AAGAAAGAAAGAAAGAGAGAGAGAAAGGAACAGUGAAUACCCACAGGAGGUGGUCUGUGAUAGAUUGUGUUAUUGUUUCCAAUAUUGAUUUCCCUCUCCUGUUAGGGGCAGGGUGGAUUUUCCUGCCCCACUGCUGUUGGGCUAGUCUGUGUGACUGUUUUUGACCAAUGGGAUAUGAGCCAAUGAGACACAGGCUCUAUCCGAACAGGAGCUUCAAAUGUGAUGCCUCUUAUUCUUAGUCUCUGCCAUGAAAAUGAGCAUCCCCCGAAGAGGGACUUAGCCUUUACCUGAGGCCCUUGAAUGAGAGGACAUGCAGAGCAGAGCUGAGCAGCCCUGUCUAUCCUGAAAACACAGACAUGUGAGUGAGGAUAAUGUUUGCUCUUGCAAGCCCCCGGGAUGUUGGUUCGUUUACCUCACAGCGAGCUGACUGAUGUAGGACAUGAGCCCUUGUCUGGCACUCCCUUUGCGGUUUUGUUCAAGGGAGAUAGUACACACACAUAUAUUAAUUUGUUUUUGAAAAAAACAAUUAUUUUAACUAUAGCAUUCCAAAAAAAAAAAUCUUAGCCUCUAUGCCAAGUACAAUGAGAUGUAAUUUUUCUUAUUAUAAUGAAGCAAACACCUGCUCACGUUGAGACCUCCAGCUCAGUCUAUUUCCAAUUGAAAAGCAUUUCAUAAAAGAAUGAAAGGUCACUGAGUUACUUUCGUUGGACUCUAUGAUGUAUCUGUAGUGAAAUAAUGAGUUAGGUCAAACCAUUUGUAAUGUGUUCCCUAAGAGUGAGCCGGACACUUUGGAAAGCUACAUAUGGAUUAUCGACGUAAAGUGUACCACUGAGAAAUGUGUCUUUAUAUUUCUCAGUUCAACAUGUAGCCAGUGACCCUUCACCUGGGCGCUGUGUCGCAUUAGCAUGUAAAAUCAUUCAGGGCUACACCCCAUGUGAUAUACUAGUUGUGACGUAACAUUCGCGAACAAUUUUCUUCUGUUAUGAAUCAGAGCCAAGUCAAGAUUGUCCGUGUGAUAACCACAGGCUUGCUUUCAUCAAAACAUGUGUGAGAGAGUCAUGGGUGGAGUUACAUGUAGCACCCCAGUCGCCUCUCAAAAUCUCACGUUGACUGGGUUGCGUUUCAGGCCAAAACAGAAGCUGCACUUGGAAACGUGUUCCACGGAGGAACCUCAUCUGUUAUGUGAAGGUGUAGCAGGGGAAGGUUGAAAUCUCCCACAAUUCCCGCAAGAACUGAUGUGGCUUCUAACGGAGGUAAAUCAAAGAUCGGAGGUGGUGUGCCAAGGAGCAGUGGGGCCUCUGAUCUUCGAGUUUGGAAAUAGGGGACAUUUGGAACUAUCUGGAGACAUUCUUGGUCGUCACAACUGGUGGCAGCGGUGUGUGAACCACAGAGAUCAGAGAUAUUGCUACAAAUCCAGCGGUGCACUGGACAGCCCCUCACAAAAAAGAAUUUGGUCCAGAAGGUCAAUAGUGCUAAAGUUGACUAACCUUACUUUAUAAUAAAGAUUCACAUAAAGAUA